GCGCCCCACAUCCCUUCCCCAUCAGACGCAAACACUGGUCGGAGUGGUUGCAAAGGAGAGAAAGGAAAAGUGACGCUGGUUUCCUUUGUGACACACAAGCUAGUUUCAGACACAA
rnacentral:snoRNA from 1 species